ACGGAGGUGGCGAGCGUUACUCGGAUUCAUUGGGUGUAAAGGGCAAGUAGGUGUCCUGUUAAGUGGGGGGUGAAAUACUUCGACUCAAUCGAAGAACUGCCUUCCAAACUAGCAGGAUUGAGUGUGAGAGAGGAAAGCGGAACUCUCGGUGUAAGGGUGAAAUCUGUAGAUAUCGAGAGGAACACCAGUUGCGAAGGCGGCUUUCUGGAUCACAACUGACACUGAAUUGCGAAAGCUAGGGGAGCAAACAGG
rnacentral:rRNA from 1 species